rnacentral:rRNA from 1 species
UACGAAGGGAGCUAGCGUUGUUCGGAAUCACUGGGCGUAAAGCGCACGUAGGCGGAUGUGUCAGUCAGGGGUGAAAUCCCGGAGCUCAACUUCGGAACUGCCUUUGAUACAGCACGUCUUGAGUCCGAUAGAGGUGGGUGGAAUUCCUAGUGUAGAGGUGAAAUUCGUAGAUAUUAGGAAGAACACCGGUGGCGAAGGCGGCCCACUGGCUCGACACUGACGCUGAGGUGCGAAAGCGUGGGGAGCAAACAGG